rnacentral:rRNA from 1 species
UACGUAGGUGGCAAGCGUUGUCCGGAUUCACUGGGCGUAAAGAGCGCGCAGGCGGUCGUUCAAGUCGCGUGUGAAAGCCCCCGGCUCAACUGGGGAGGGUCACGCGAUACUGAUCGACUCGAAGGCAGGAGAGGGUAGUGGAAUUCCCGGUGUAGUGGUGAAAUGCGUAGAUGUCGGGAGGAACACCAGUGGCGAAGGCGACUACCUGGCCUGUUCUUGACGCUGAGGCGCGAAAGCUAGGGGAGCAAACGGG